UACGGAGGGUGCAAGCGUUAUCCGGAUUCACUGGGUUUAAAGGGUGCGUAGGUGGGCAGGUAAGUCAGUGGUGAAAUCUCCGAGCUUAACUCGGAAACUGCCGUUGAUACUAUUUGUCUUGAAUAUUGUGGAGGUAAGCGGAAUAUGUCAUGUAGCGGUGAAAUGCUUAGAUAUGACAUAGAACACCAAUUGCGAAGGCAGCUUACUACACAACGAUUGACGCUGGAGGCACGAAAAGCGUGGGGGAGCAAACAGG
rnacentral:rRNA from 1 species